CGCCGUCCUGUCCUGAGGUGUCCUUCACUCCCUGGUCUCUCUGCUCCUACUCUCAUUCUCGGAACCCUCCUCCACGCCCAACCUUCAAAAACCUAAGUUUAGGGUUAGGGUUUUUUCUUUUCUUUUAGUUUUAAAUGUAAUGCUUCUUCGUAAGUUCUUGAGGCCAUCUCGAAAACAGCAAUGUACGGUCACCCGCAACACAUGAGCAUGCACAACCAGAUCGCCGGCGACGACGACGACGGCGCUGCUUCGGAGUCCAUCGAUAAUCCUCAUGUCCAUUAUGAUGCCCACGUUCUCCAAGACGGAGUCGUCCCCGGCAUGGAAGUCGCCGGAGACGUACCCUCCGACGCUGUGUACGUCGCCGAUGGCUCCGAAGUCGCUCUUCAACCCAGCGACGCUACCAAUCAGCUUACGCUCUCCUUCCGCGGCCAAGUUUAUGUUUUUGAUUCUGUUACGCAUGAAAAGGUUCGAUCUGUGCUAUUACUUUUGGGGACACCAGAACUAUCUUCCAUUGCACAUAAUAUGGAAAUAGUACCUCAAAAUCAGAGGGCUUUAACAGACUUCCCUGGACCAUACAAUCAACCUCAUAGAGCAGCUUCUUUAAAUAGGUUCCGUCAAAAGAGAAAAGAGCGGUGUUUUGAUAAGAAAAUUAGAUAUAAUGUCCGCCAAGAAGUUGCACUCAGGAUGCAGCGAAACAAGGGUCAAUUUUCUUCGUCAAAGAAGUCUGAGGGAACUUUUAGCUGGGAUUCUGUCCAGGAUUCUGGACAAGAUGAGAGCCCUCCUGAAACCUUAUGUACACAUUGUGGCACCAGUUCAAAGUCCACUCCAAUGAUGCGACGUGGGCCAACUGGUCCGAGGUCUCUCUGCAAUGCAUGUGGGCUUUUUUGGGCAAACAGGGGAUCUUUGAGGGAUCUUUCCAAGAAAAACCAGGAUCAUUCUCUGAACCAAAUUGAGCGGGGUGAUGGUGAAGCUAAUGAUUCUGACUGUGGAACUAGUGGAUACAUAAAUAACAAUCAUGUUGCUUUCUCAAAUAGUGAUAACCCGGCUUUAAUACCUGAGCAGUAACUGUCAAGCUCCCUCACAAGAAAGGCUUCUGCCAUUACCUCUAGCAUCAUUCAAAUGAAGUACAAAGUCAUUUUGGGUGCGCCUUUAUCUCAGCAGACUGCCGUGGCAGAUGUGGACGCCACAUUAUAAGUCCUGAUAUUUUUCCUUCAAAUUGUUUAAUAUAGCCAAACACGGUUGCAGCGGAUUAUCAAUCAAUGCUACCGGUUUGGUGUAGGUUUCGAUCGGGGAAUUAAUUCUAACUCCCACUUUUGUUCAGCUGUCUUAAAUCUUCUUCAUAUAAUUUUGCAUUGCAGGAGAAAUGAAUUAUGUUACUGUAUUAAUAUUUCAUCCGAGGACUUCAUUGCCUUGGCCCA